GUGCCGAACCCACCAUAUGUGGACCAGGGAAGGUCCAUUUCCUUCUAAUCACACUAUCACAGAGUCCUGGACAUUUUUUUUCUCUUCUCCUUUUCCAUGGUCGUACUCCUAUCGUGUUCAUUUGCCCAGCAAAAAACCUGAAACUCCUUGAAAAACCCUGAAUUUCAACCGGACGACGAACAAUUCCCGCCAUUUUCCGCUUCUGGUACCGUUGGUUGUAGAACACAGUAACAACUUACCUUCAUGGUGAGAAUAUGGCACAUAAUUCAGUUCCUCCUGGUUUUGUGUCUCGUACAUCCUUCAUGCUGAAGAGGGAAAAAACUGCUGAAGAAACUAAUAGUUCCAAUGCCUUUGUUGAUGCUUCUAAUGAAGAGCCAGUCCAGCUGGAUACGACGUCUGACCUGACUGACAUGGAUAAGUUGAAAAGACGAAGGCCAUGGAUACUUUUUGACCAAAGUGAUCUCAACACAGAGGAAUCUGACUCUGAACACUUUAAUACGGACCCCCUUGCAAAAUCUUGCCUUCCCAAAGGUGUUACUCACGGAUGUCCAGAUUGCAGUGGUUGCCGGAAGGUAGAUUUUCAUUCACUAAGUUGAUUCUGUUCCCUUUGAAUUGUAUAGUUCUUAGGUGACAGGAAGGUGGCAUCCUGAAGAGGCAAGAACAGAUCUCCUUGAAGAAGCACCUCUUUUCUACCCAACAGAAGAGUCCUUCAGUUUCUAAAGGAGUUUGGCUUUGUUCUGCGAUGUUCAACCGAAAGAGGCGACAGAUUUGAUGGAGGGGACAUCCGAUGUUUCAUCUGCAAGUACAAGUGAAACAAGCUCCUCAGACUUGGACGAUAGAAUACCAGAUGUUAACAUUCUUCUGCGCGGAAGACAACCGGUGAAAAGCAAUGUUCCUCGGAAGCUUCCAAAUGGUCAUCAAAUGCCAAGAGAACCAUGCUCUCGGGGUCCAAUUCUUAUUAGUGAUGACAGUGAUGGUUAAGUUGUAUGUAAUGCUGCUGGAAUUGAUAACAUGUUAUCGACAAUGAUAACAUGGUAUCGAUACCAUAUUAACAGUCUGUUUUGCAACGAAGAACGGGCGUUGUGAACAGAGAAGAACUGAUAAUCUUCGUAUUAAAUUGUAGAACAAAUGUGGUAUAUAAAGAAUUAUCGAAUC